UACAGAGACUGCAAGCGUUAUUCGGAUUCACUGGGCGUAAAGGGUGCGUAGGCGGCUUGGUGGGUCUGGUGUGAAAGCCCCGGGCUCAGCCCGGGAAGGGCGCUAGAAACUGCCGAGCUCGAGUGCCGGAGGGGAGAGUGGAAUUCCUGGUGUAGCGGUGAAAUGCGUAGAUAUCAGGAGGAAUACCGGUGGCGAAAGCGACUCUCUGGACGGCAACUGACGCUGAGGCACGAAAGCGUGGGGAGCAAACAGG
rnacentral:rRNA from 1 species